AAGCGGCGCGAAGGGCGGCGCGCGAGGGAGGGCGGGAAGGGGAAAGAAAGAAGGAGUCUCCGCUUCUUUCCCCUUCCAGCCCUCCCUCGCGCGCCGCCUUUUUUUUCUCACGC
rnacentral:sRNA from 1 species